AGUUUUAGCGCCUUUUCGUUUUUAGCUAGUCUCCUGCACAGACUCUCUCUCUCUCUCUCUCAGACACUUUGAAAAGCUCCUCACUGUCUUGUCUCUACCACUACCCACAAACCCACAGCCACAGCCACCACCACCCACAACCACAGCCAUCACCACCACCCAACCCCCAACCACCAAAUCACAAGCAAAAACAAACCAAUGUAAACCCACAGUCACCACUAGCCAACCUACCCCAGCAAACCCAACCUAGCAAACCCACAGUCACCACCAGCCACUAUCACCCACCCACCUGCCACCACCGUAAACCCCAACCCAAAAUCAACCCACCACUAGCCAAUAAACUAAAAAAGAAUAAAAAAUCCCUUACCACCACUACAAAACAACCAUCAUCUGACCAAACCUCCGUCGACGAAAUCGUGUACCGCUCUGGAAAGCAUGUAGCUGUAGCUUUGGAGGUCACAGUCUUCUUCUUCACACCCACGCUCAUCGGUACCAUCCGUUUACAAAGUCUUUUUAAGCAGUCAAACUCAGGUGCUUCUUAUGUGAUGUCAUUUACUGCCUCCGAAAAAACCCAAAGGGUUUUCGAAUUGUAGAGCAUCAGCCACCUCGCGCUCAAAGCUCAGAAUCCUCCACCUUUUCCUUCGAUAAUGGCGACUCAGAUGACCUAAAAGCGAAAGGCUAUCAUCAUGCCCCUGUAGGGAACUCAAAGUUGCUGCCAAUCUUGUGAAGUCCAAGGCCAAGCACAUCAAAACCAAGGCUUCUGACUUCUCCCCAUCUCCUCUCAAACCCAUAACAAAGGAAGCAACCUGAUUCGAGUCGGCGGAACUGGAACCGGGUGAGUUUGGCAGCCCCCAUCAAGAGAGUCAAUUGGAACCGGUCACUUUCCACCAGGUUGUUAGGUUUUGUGCAAAAUCAAGGGAAGCUGUGAGUUCUCUUGUUGAGCAUCUGACCCUUCACUAUCAGGUGUGUGUGGGCAUCAUUAUUAUAUUCUGUCUGAUACUACUAGUAUGUCCUCUGUUCUUUGCCUGUUUUACAUUCUUGCAGGUUCGACAUCUUUGACACAUCUAAAAAGAGUGAGCUUCACAAGUUACAACAACUGAAAGAUGAACAAGUGACAUCACUGCUGAAGGGAGACGGAUAACAAAGCUUGAUCAGAUUUUACUAAAUGGAAACGACAUUGCCAUUCUGGUCCCUGGUGGUUCACCUGAUCCAGAAUGAGUGUAGCUAGCCUCUACUCUGUUAUUGAUUUCCUCUUCCUCUACUGUGGUUGGGGGUUUAGUUCGCAUUUGGGACCUUUGGAUGAUAUUUAUAGCCACUGCCACAGGCCCAUGGCAAAUUUUGAUAUUAGCGAACAUUUUGCAAGUGGAAUAUCAGAAUAAAGAGAGAACAUUGCAGUAAUUGUAAAAGAUUACAAAAAGAAGAGGCACUAUAAGUUCGUGUAAUCAAAGCAAGUGAAGUUGGUGAAAGACUUAAGGUAUUUCUUGUAAACCAGUUUAUAGCAAUGGAUAAGAGUUGGAUGAAAAUUACCAAUAAAAGGUCACAAGAAUAUUUAGAUGGAGUCCAACAGUAUCUGAAUUUUGCAUCUAACCAUGCACACAUGGAUGAAACGAUUUCAUGUCCGUGUAAGAAAUGCCUGCAUACAAAUUCGUGGCCUAUAGAUGUUGUACAGGCUCACUUAGUGUCAAAAGAGAUUUGUAGGGGUUAUAAUCCUUGGAUUUUUAAUGGGAAAUCAUCGUCUGCAAAAACUUCUACUGAAAUUCCUAAUAGUCAUGUCCAAGAAAACCCGAUAGAGUAUGCUGAUCUUUGUGACAUGUUGCAUGACAUGUUCCCCAUACAAGAUAUGGUAUCUGGGCCAACGGAAGAAGUCUCUAGUGUGCACCAACCCACAGAAGGUCCUGCAGAAGGUCCUAAUGAAGAUGCAGUUUGGUUUAUGAAAUUGCUUGAAGAUGCUAAUCAACCUUGUUAUGAAGCUUGUAAACAUUUUAGCAAAUUGUCAGCCAUUGUACAUUUGUACCACAUGAAGUGUUUUAAUGGUUGGACCAACAAAUCAUUUACCAUGUUGCUACAAUUUUUGCUUGAUUUUGUUCCUUCAAAUGCUAAGUUGCCAAAAGAUUGUUAUGAGGCUAAGAAGAUUAUUAAGAAUCUGGGCUUGAGCUAUAAGAAGAUUCAUGCUUGUCCUAAAGAUUGUAUUUUAUACUGAAGGACAAUGCCAACCUUGAAGCUUGUCCAAACUGUAACCUUUCAAGAUGGGAAAGUGAUGAGUUUAAAGGUCAACAAAGUACUAAUGCUUCCUCCAAGAGAAGAAAAAAGAAAGCUGCAAAGAUCCUAUGGUGGUUCCCCUUAAAGCCAAGAUUGAAGCGACUAUUUAUGUCUCUUGAAACAGCCAAUCAUAUGAAGUGGCAUGUCAAUGGUCGUGUGAAUGACGGGUUAAUGAGGCAUCCUGUUAAUUCUGAGGCUUGGAAAUCAUUUAACUCUAAGUACAUAGAGUUCUCAUCUGAGGCUCGUAAUGUAAGGCUUGGAUUAGUAACCGAUGGAUUCAAUCCGUAUGGAAAUAUGAGUACUACUUAUAGUACAUGACCUGUCAUUUUGAUCCCAUACAAUCUCCCUCCAUGGAUGUGCAUGAAAAAGUCUUAUUUUAUGCUAUCAUUAUUGAUUCCUGGUCCAACCUCACCCGGGAACGAUAUAGAUGUGUACUUACAACCCCUAGUAGAAGAACUAAAGGAGUUAUGAGAUGUUGGAGUAGAAACAUUUGAUGUGUCUUCCAAAAAAUCUUUCCAAAUGCAUGUUGCACUAUUGUGGACCAUAAAUGAUUUUCCUGCAUAUGUUGAUAUCUCGGGUUGGAGUACCAAAGGUUUUCUUGCAUGUCCUUCUUGUAAUUAUGAUAGUCGGUCUUGUUGGUUAAGAUAUGGAAGGAAAUUUAGUUACAUUGGACAUAGGCGAUUCUUGGAUAGGGAUCAUAAAUUCCGUAAGCAAAAAAAUUCAUUUGAUGGGCAUGUUGAUAUGAGAUCAGCUCCUAUUAUAGUAUCCAGAGGGGAAAUCAUGUUACAAACGGAUGUUGUAGUCGAUCAUGUGUUUGGGAAGAAAAAGGUUAAUUUGACCAAUAAAAGAAAAAGAGGGGAGGAAGCAUUAAUUGUGUGGAAGAAGAGAAGUAUAUUUUUUACCUUGCCGUAUUGGGAGGACCAUGUGUUGCGCCACAAUCUUGACGUGAUGCACAUUGAAAAGAAUGUAGUCGAUAAUAUAAUUGGCACAUUGUUGAAUUUGGAUGGCAAGACAAAGGAUAAUUUGAAGGCAUGCCUAGAUUUAAAGAAUAUGGGUAUAAGAAUUGGACUUCACUUGGAAAAGGUUGGGAAUGAUCAGAUAUGUAUGCCACAUGUUUGUUACCAUAUGAAUGCUAGUGAAAAAGAUAGUUUUCUGCAAGUUUUAAAAGAUGUAAAAGUGCCAGAUGGAUAUUAUUCAAACAUCUCACGUUGCGUUAAAACUCAAAGAACGCAAGAUUAGUGGGAUGAAGAGCCACGAUAAUCACAUCUUAAUGCAACAACUUUUUCCAAUAGCAAUACGCGGAUCUUUGCCCUCUGAAGUGAGUAGGAGUUUAAUUGACUUAUCUUGUUUCUUUAGGGAGAUAUGUUCUAAAGUACUAAAUGUGGAGGAACUUGGGGCUCUUAAGAAGAGCAUUGCAGUGACAUUGUGCGAGUUGGAAAUGAUAUUCCCUCUCUCUUUCUUUACAGUGAUGGUACAUCUAGUCAUGCAUUUGACUAGCGAAGCUAAAGUUGUUGGCCCAGUUCAUUAUUGUUGGAUGUAUUCCAUUGAGAGAAGGGUAUAUAGCAGAGGAAUGUUUAACAUUCUGCUCACGUUAUUUUAAAUUUGUUGAAACUGCAUUCAAUUGGCCUGUAAGGAAUGUUGAGAAAUCCAUGGGUGCGGUGGUGAGUAUUACACUAGAUUCAAAUUCACGGAUCCGAGUACAUCGUUAUGUGCUAUUCAAUUGUGAAGAAAUAACCCCAUUUCGCGAUAUACACAUGGCGGAGAUCAAGGCUGGUUUGCCUUUUAAUGUGAUUGAUGAUGUUAUUCAAAAGCAGCACAUAGAGGAAUUCUGCAGUUGGUUUAGGGAAUAUGUGAUGUCAAUGGAUGCCUCUGAGAGAAAGGAACUCUCUGAUAAAGUUAGAUGGUUUUCUCAAUAUCCAGAUAAUGAAGCAAAAUGGUUUAAGCGUUAUGUCAUAAAUGGUUUGAAGUUUCGCACCAAAGAUUCUGAGAUAGCUAGAAAAACUCAAAAUAGUGGAGUUUGUGUUGUUACUGAAGACUUUGACACUUGAAAUGGGAAGGCGAAAGACAAAGUUGCGCACUCGUUCCAAGAGUGUAAUAGUGGAAAGAGCUUCUUCACAAGAUGUGGAUGAAGUGGGGGACCAAGAAACGCAUGAAGCUUCUACACAAGAUGUGCAGCCACCUGUACGUGUCACUCGCGGACCAAGCAAGUACUUGAAUAUUUGGGAUCUUCCCGAUGAAGAAGAAAUUAAGUUGCCGCUAAAUAGUAUGCAUCAGCUGGUUGAUGAUGGGGCGAGGACUUUCACUGGUUUCUUGGGUACGAUUGUGCGGAAACCUCACAUGUGCUUGAUUAGAUUUCUUAAUUGGAAGGACGUAGCAGAAGAAUUUAAAGAAGAGUGUUGGUGUCUUGUAGAGCGAAAAUACAGUGUCCCUGUUGAUCCUAUUGCAUGUGCGGCUCUGAAAACAUUUACUUUACAAAAAAUUGGGAAGGCUUGGAGGGAUCAUAAGUCUAGGCUAAAGAAACAACAUUAUAUACCUCAUUCAAGAAACAAAGCACGGGUAAAGAACAACAUACCCCCGGGAUGCAUAACACAAGAUUGGGAAAUACUUGUUGAGCAUUGGUAUACUGAUGAUGCAAUGGUAUGUUUAUUUUUUUUCUCUUUUCCAUCAUGGAUCAUAUCAAAAGGAGAAUGAUUAUUGAGAAAUUGAGAGAAUAAUAUUGGAUUGCUUUCAGAUAGGAUUUGUUAGUUUUGUGGACUUUUUGUGAAACUAGUAUAUAUGAGAAGUUGUGUUUCAUAUUUCAUAAGAAAAGAUUCAACAAAGCUCUUUGAUGGUGUAUAGUUUGUUAGUAUUGAAUUAGAUGACUUGUAGUUGUUUUAUGCUAAA